UACGGGGGGAGCAAGCGUUGUUCGGAUUUACUGGGCGUAAAGGGCGCGUAGGCGGCCAGCACAAGUCAGUUGUGAAAUCUCCGAGCUUAACUCGGAAAGGUCAACUGAUACUGUGCGGCUAGAGUGCGGAAGGGGCAACUGGAAUUCUUGGUGUAGCGGUGAAAUGCGUAGAUAUCAAGAGGAACACCGGUGGCGAAGGCGAGUCCCUGGACAACACCUGACACUGAGGCACGAAAGCUAGGGGAGCAAACAGG
rnacentral:rRNA from 1 species